UAACUAAAUAAAAUACAAAAUGAGGAAGAUAAAAAGAAAUUGGGAGUAAAAAAAAAAUGGGAAGAACCUUCCCCAAAAUAUUUUCCCCCCAAAUCAUUUCUCCCCACCUAGACCUUUCCCCAAAAAUAUUUCCCCACCUAAAACUUUCCCCCCAAAAUAUUACCUCACAUAACACCUUCUCCCCAAAUAAAACUCCCCACACAAGACCCCCCCGGGGGAGAUAAAAAAAAAAUCAUCAGACCCUCCCCUGAGAUUAGACUCUAGCGGCGUACCUCUCUGCCUGGGGGAUAAAAAAGAACGAACACCAUCCCCCUUUCCUCUGGAUUUCCUCCUCUUCUUAUCUCCCUAACACACACAAGAGAAGCCGAGAAACAGAUCAUCUCUUUGAACACAAAUGGUUGAAACAAAGCCGAGAGAAUUCAAAAAAUGAAACUCUGAAAAAUCAUCGAAAAAAGAAGACGAAAAGAAAACGAAAAAUUGGACUUUCAAAUUAGAUUUGGAGAAGUAAUUGAUUGCUGAAUUUUCAAAGUCUAAAUUCCUCUUCCAUGGAUCUAUAAAAGGCUGUUGAAGUCCGCAUCCGUUGUUGUUUGUUACUCAUUUGUUGCCGCUCUGUACCGGAGACUGUUCCUAUUGUUUUGUUUAAGAGUUUGCUUCGAAGCGACAAUCCACAAAUGACGUGGCUACAAAUUUACUGUUGAAUGGAUGCAACCUGCUGGUGUCAUCAAGAAUCGAUCAUGCUUGUUUAGCCUUGUCAAGACUCCAUGGAUAAUGACCGGUAUCAUCUGAUUCGCGUUGGGGCAGAAAUGGAUAUUGAGAGAAUAAAUACUUUGGUCUACCACAUCUGAAUAUGAUGGUGCUUUGGAGGCUAAAAUUGACACUAUAUGGAACUAGGCUUGUAGAAGGAGAAACUACUAUUGUUGGAUUCGAAUGCUAUAUUUUUUCUUUGUGUUGAUACUCUAAAUUUAUGUAUUAGCAUUUGUUUUUGUAUAUUAUAGAUUUAAUAAAAUAUUAUUAUAAUUUCUUGAA